rnacentral:tmRNA from 1 species
GGGGAUGCACCGGAUUUGAUUAUUUGGGGAGGCAUUUGUAAGCGUAUCGAAGCUCCGCCUUCGUUAAAACGGAAACUUUAAAAUUAAAUGCAAACAAUAAUCGUUUAGCAUACGCUGCCUAAUGGCGGCUGCCCAAUACGGUUUACCAUCGGGCUGUAACGGGUAUCAUUAUUAGAUGGGACGUUGUUUUUAGUUUUGGUUGUGGCUUUAAGCAACUAUUUAGCAACACACGGCGAUAAAGGUUUUUUCGCUUUCCUAUAUCGCAAGGGAUAAAAACGAAAUACGUACGUAGAAAGCAGUGUUGAGCCAGGUAAGACGUGAGUUCGACUCUCACCAUCUCCACCA